rnacentral:lncRNA from 1 species
AUUGGCCUUCUACCAGAAGCAACCUCAAGCAAGAAGGCCCCAAAAGCGAACACAUCAGUGCUUGUCGUGGCCUUUCCAGUUCGUGCAUGUUCAGGUGCGAGAUACCCAAGAGUUCCGACAACGUGGGUCGUUUGAGGAUCUGUUCCAUGGUCAUACAAUCUUGCAAGGCCAAAAUCCCCUAAUCUUCCAUUCAAUUCACCAUCUAGCAAGACAUUACUAGCCUUGACAUUUCUAUGAACCACAACUUGCUCCCAUUCUUCAUGUAGAUAAAAUAGCCCUGAAGCUACGCCGAACAAAAAAAACCAUGCUUUUUCCUUAAAAACAAAUUAAGUAAUAAGAAAAAAUUCUUCAAGAAAUACAACACAGGAUUUUCUUAGGAUGCCGAGUCAUUAUUUGCGUGGAACAUCCAUGGAUAAGAAAUAGCUGUCAAAAGGCUCUCUAAGAGUUCAAGACAAGGACUUGAUGAGCUAAAAAAUGAAGUAAAAGAUGUUUUGAAACUUCAACACUAGAAUCUAGUGAGGCAUUUAAAGAGAUGAAACGAUAUUGGUCUACGAGUUUUUACCUAACAAAAGCUUGGACUUCUAUGUUUUUUUUGUACGAGUCUCACAAAACCUUUUCAAAAAGUUGUUCCAAUUUUUCAAAUUUAGCACUAUUAAGCUUUGAUAUGAAGAGUCAGUGGAACAUCUCCUUAUUCAUUGUCAAAACCACUAGAAAAUUUGGUUUAUAUUCAUGGAAUCACUACCACAAUCUUUAGAUUUACUGACGAAAUUUUUCGUCGAUAUUUACACUAUCAUUCUGUUAGUAAUUAAUUUACCAACGAAAUCACCGACAGAAAUUCUCCAUCAGUGAAUCAUUCGUCGGUAAUUUUUUGUCCGUCGGUAAGUCCGUUGAUAAUAAAAAAUAUUAUUACCGAUAGAUUUACUGACGGAAAAAACAAGCAAAAAAAAAAUUACCCGCUUCAUUCCGUCGGCAAUUCCCUUGAAAAAAUACCGUAUGUAAUUCCGUCGGGUAAUUAUUUAAAAAUAUUAAAACAAAAUCUAUUUUACAAAACUAUAAAAUAAUUAAAUUAAUAUUAAUCAACACUCUAUAAUACUCAAAAUACUUUAAAAAAAAAGAAGAAAAUCAACUCAAACAAAUUUGCAACAAAUAAAUAACACGAAAAAAUAAAUUCAACUAAAACAAUUCAUAUGAAAAAAAUUUAAAAAUCCUAUAAAUAAAUCAACUAAAAAUUGAUCUCAUAUGAAAAAAAUCCUGCAACAACAUUCAUACAAUUAUUAAGAACGAAAACAAUUAAAAAUAAAAUAAAAAACAAAUAUAGUGAAAAAAACACGAAAAAAGAAGAAAUUUUUUUUUUACCUUUGUUGUUACCCAUUUUUGGGUUCCCACACAAAAAAUGAAAAAAAUACAAAAAAAUACAUAUAAAAACAAUAUUUGGAAAGAAUCUAAAAAAAUAAAAUGAGUGAGAAAAGGAUGCUGUAACGCCCAUCAAAUGGCUAGGAAUUGGUUGAGGAGGUUCAAAAAUACAAGAAUUGAAAUUUAACCGUAUAUGUUUAACUGGUGAAAGCCCUAUUGACAAGAAAAAUUUAAUUUGAGGAAGAAAAGUCCAAAAUCAGAUAUUUAUGGACUCAAUUAAAUUUUAUCUAAGGUUUAAUUGAAUUUAUGGAGGGUUUGAUUGCAAUAAAAAUUGAUUUUUAAGUCAAUUUAAGCUUUUAUUUGAAGAAAUUAUAGUUUUGGUGUCCAAUUAUAAUUUUGAAGAGUUGCUUUGGUCAAAUCAGGGGCUUAAUUGUAUAAUUAUUGAAGUUUGAUGGUCAAUUAGGGACUUGAUUGACACAAUCCAAAACCAUGGACCAAACCGGAAACGAUGCUAAAAUCAAGGAAUCCAAUUACAAUUUAUCCGGGGGCUUGAUUACAAAAAUAUAAAAAACAUCCAAGGACCAAAUCAAAAAUAUUCAUUUAAAUUGGAAAACGGUGCCGUUUCACUUCACACUGUGCUGUCUCCUUUAAGCAACGGUUUCUGCAGUAAAAGGCAGUAAAGACAGUAGCGGUGGAGCUGCUUCAAUCAGGGGAGCAUGUCUCACGGCUGAUAUCCCUCGCCACCAUGAUGCACGCUGGCCGUUACAAUCUUUCUGCAAUAAAUCCCGAAAAGCAUGCCUCCUCUGGCUAUAAAAGCCAGAGGAGAGACGGACAAAAAGGGGAGAGGAGGGGGAAACAUGGGAAGAAAGACGAGAAAGAGGGGAAAAGAGGAGAGGAGCACGGCGAGCAGAAGAACCCGAGGGGGGGGGGGGAAGACAGAGGAGGCAUAGCGAGCAGUACGUGAGAAAAAGAGAGCAGAACAGAGGGAGGAAAAAAGAUUUAAAAGGCACAGAAAGGAACAGAGAAGAGGGAAGACGGAAGACGAGGAAGAUAUGAAAACAGGGAGGAGCUUGUUUUAAAACAGGGGAAGAACACCCGUUGGUGGCCAUCGUCUUUUUCUCCCUAACUGCGAGCCGCUGCCAUUCUCCAUCACAAACGCACCAGCACUGCCAACGCCAUCGUCAUUUUUCCUCAGCUCACCAUCUUCUUCCCCCGCUACAACACCAUUGAAGAAAAGGCAGAAACCUGCGCCUCUGCACAGACGGGAAAAACAGCAGCAAAACACUUCCCGCCACAGCAGAGAAGAGCCACCGUCGCUCCGCCAUCAUCAUCACCGCCAGCUGCCACUGUCCUCCCAGUCGACAACGGCACCAUGAGAAGCAGAAGAAGAAAACAGAAACAGAGGAGAACAGAGCAGAGGAAAAAACACAGAGAAGAAGAAGAAGAAAGGCCGACCACCGUCCAAGCCAUUCUCCGGUCAGCAACCGCCAGCAGCAGCGCCUUCAGAGCCACCGCAGUUCAGCCCUCUUCCCCUUUCCUUUCUUCUUCUUCUUCACCCCGGUCUCCACUGUUCGGCUAAUGAACAGUGGAAAGCCACUGUUUAUGGUUGGGCCAAUUCUGGCCCAGCCCGUAUAACUGGGCCGGGCCGGGCCACGUCAAAAUAGUUGGGCCAAGUCCGGCCCAAUCCAAAAAAUCCAAAAAAAACAUUUCGGAAAAUUUGUGAUUUUUCCGAGUAUUUUUCUACUGAGUUUUGCUUAAUAUUGGUUUGUGUUUUUAUACCGUAAAGAUACAAAUCCGAUAUUAAAAUACCUGGUUUUCGUCAAAACAUUGAAAAAUAAAAAAAAAUAUUUUUUUAUGCAUACGGUCAAGUCUUUCAAAGAAAAAAAAAUCAUAUCAUAUUUUCAUACAAUAAAAAUUCAAAACUAUACAUUAACAUGUAUUUUGGUUUAAUAAUCAGUUUAUUAAAAUCAUAAGAACUAGGCCAAUAUUUUAAAAAAUUCCAAAACAAAUCAUAUUUUUUUUAAUAUUAAAGAUUACGCGCUUCUACAUAAGGCGUAGUCUCGAUAUUAAAAAGAUAGCUUAAAAAAAAAACUUUAAAAUGGUUAGGUUUUUUACCCGAUAAGAUAAGGACCUUCUUACCGAGGAGGAUUUUUCUUAAACCAUAGACAAACUAACAACUAAAAAACACGACAAGACCUUAGAUUUUAUCAGACAAUAAAACUGUCGCACCCUCGUGAGCGGAGCGCGGCGUAGCGGCAACCAUCAUUUUCUUCUCUUUUCAUGUCAUUCAAUAUGGGUUGUCUUUGAAUAGGACAUACAAUUUAUGGGGUCCAAAAUUGUCGGCAUAAUUGUUCAAUAUAUGAUUAUAAGAAGGAGGUCUUGUUUCUUAAAUCUCGGGGUCUCUUAAACUGAACUUGCUUGGAUCAACUGAAAGAAAAUGAUAAAGAAAUAGAGGAAUCUUGCAAACUUUUGUCAGUGAGUGGAAUGGGAUAUUGUUAUGAAGGAGGGAUUUUUCAUCUCUGAAGUUUCUGUAUGUAUCAGAAUGUAUUCCCACUUCCAAGUAGGAAUUUCAAGAGAACCUGAAAUUCCACAUUAAUAGCAAAAUUUUGUGUAUGAGCAUCUCAAAUCAAUAAUUCUUCACUUCCAAAUUCCAAACAAAUAAAACCACAUCCAUAGAAGAAAAAAGAACAGCAAAAAAUAAAAAAUCUUUUUAAUUUCCACCAAGUAUUGAUGCAAAUGCAAGCAACACAAGAAAGAUAGAAGAACAAAAUUAUGUCAAAUAUGGUCACACCAAGAACUUUAAUUUGAAAUUUUAUUACUAAAAAAUUUCAUCACAUAAAUACUCUGAUCAAAACUCUCUAUUAUAGCUCUUUUAAGUUGCUUAUAUACUAGUAAAAAGUCUUAAACAAAAUUGAAAAAAUAAUAAAAUACUAGUCGCCAAUGGCCAAGAACCAACUUGAAUCGGUUCUUUAACCGACAGAGUCUUGGUAGUUGGCAGAUUAAUUCAGAUAACUUGCUGUACUACUUCCAACUAUAACUAUGAAUGUCUUUUAAACAUUACCUCCUGCUUCAUGAUUUGUUACCAUGUUUGCUUUCUUAUGUGAUACAUCAACAUAAACAAAAGGGAGAGAUACCGUGUUAUGCAUUUUAUUUAAUUUGCAUCAUUGUUUUGCAGGUGAUCUUUCAUGUACAUCUCCUAAAGGCAGUUUCCUACAUAAUUUUCUUUUUUAAAAAAAAAAACCACUCAUAAGGUAAUGUAUUGCAUACAGAAACUCCUCUGAUUCACCAAAUAGAUCUUACAUGAGUUCUUGAUAAGGUCUGAUAAUUUUUGACAUAAUAAAAUUUAAAUGUUAACACAGAACAAAGAUAUUCUGAAAACUUCGUUAAUUUUAUUGAUUAUCAGAAGUCUUAUUUAAACACUUCUUAAAACAGCAAAAGCAAAUAAACAGCAGCAAUAUCUGCUGCUGUUUGCUACAUAACAGAAAAGAAGAUUAUGCAAAUCCUAACAAACUUUUAAAACUUCAAACCAGCAUGAGUUUUAUUUGACUCUAAACUCUGCCAUCUUCUACAUCAGCAGCUUCUGAGACAUUAAUUCAACAAGGUCCUUGAAGAAAAGUAAGAAUUAACGGCCACCUGAAAGGAGGGACUCUGCAACCGAGGACGAAUGUGCAAAUGCCUUGUCCAUAGAAGAAGGAUAAGAAUUGGCAAAGUCAUCAAUGGCAAAGUCAUCAAAACCUUCACGAUGUGAAAAUGUUAGGCCACUUGUAGAAAGACGAAGUGGUGAAAUGUCAGGCAGACGAACAUCCCCCUCUAAGAACUGCACUACUUGCCGCAUGCUUGGCCUUGCUGCAGGCUCAGAAUGAGAGCACAUCAAACCAAGUUUCAAUACCAAUUCCAUUUCCUCUGCAAUAUAUUCUGUACCCAAAUUGGGAUCCCUUGCCUCCAGAAUUUCACCUCCAAGCCAUCGACUAAACACCCAAUCAACCAAGAUUAUAUCCUCAGUUGGCUGUAUUGGCCUUCUACCAGAAGCAACCUCAAGCAAGAAGGCCCCAAAAGCGAACACAUCAGUGCUUGUCGUGGCCUUUCCAGUUCGUGCAUGUUCAGGUGCGAGAUACCCAAGAGUUCCGACAACGUGGGUCGUUUGAGGAUCUGUUCCAUGGUCAUACAAUCUUGCAAGGCCAAAAUCCCCUAAUCUUCCAUUCAAUUCACCAUCUAGCAAGACAUUACUAGCCUUGACAUCUCUAUGAACCACA